UCCCUGGUGGACUAGUGGCUAGCAUGGGGCGCUCUCAUCGCCAUGGUCCGGGUUCGAUUUCCGCUCAGGGAA